GGGCGAAAGCCUGACGGAGCAAGACCGCGUGAGGGAAGAAGGUCUGUGGAUUGUAAACCUCUUUUGAUAGGGAAGAAGUUCUGACGGUACCUAUCGAAUCAGCCUCGGCUAACUCCGUGCCAGCAGCCGCGGUAAUACGGAGGAGGCAAGCGUUAUCCGGAAUUAUUGGGCGUAAAGCGUCCGUAGGUGGAUGUUCAAGUCUUCUGUCAAAGCGCGGAGCUUAACUCCGUAAAGGCAGAGGAAACUGAGCGUCUAGAGUGCGAUAGGGGCAAGGGGAAUUCCCAGUGUAGCGGUGAAAUGCGUAGAUAUUGGGAAGAACACCGGUGGCGAAAGCGCCUUGCUGGGUCUGCACUGACACUGAGGGACGAAAGCUAGGGGAGCGGAAGGGAUUAGAUACCCCUGUAGUCCUAGCUGUAAACGAUGGGUACUAGGCGUUGUCCGUAUCGACCCGGGCAGUGCCGUAGCUAACGCGUUAAGUACCCCGCCUGGGGAGUACGCUCGCAAGAGUG
rnacentral:rRNA from 1 species